AUUGAACGCUGGCGGCAUGCCUUACACAUGCAAGUCGAACGGCAGCACGGGAGCAAUCCUGGUGGCGAGUGGCGAACGGGUGAGUAAUGUAUCGGAACGUGCCCAGUCGUGGGGGAUAACGUAGCGAAAGCUACGCUAAUACCGCAUACGAUCUAUGGAUGAAAGCGGGGGAUCGCAAGACCUCGCGCGAUUGGAGCGGCCGAUAUCAGAUUAGGUAGUUGGUGGGGUAAAGGCUCACCAAGCCGACGAUCUGUAGCUGGGCUGAGAGGACGACCAGACACACUGGGACUGAGACACGGCCCAGAGUCCUACGGGAGGCAGCAGUGGGGAAUUUUGGACAAUGGGCGCAAGCCUGAUCCAGCAAUGCCGCGUGCAGGAUGAAGGCCUUCGGGCUGUAAACUGCUUUUGUACGGAACGAAACGGCGAGCUCUAAUACAGUUUGCUAAUGACGGUACCGUAAGAAUAAGCACCGGCUAACUACGUGCCAGCCGCCGGGGUAA
rnacentral:rRNA from 1 species